AAUAAAUGCAUUAUUACAAUGGUACCAGAGCUAGAACAAGUUUUACAAGAUUCACUUCCAUUGUAAAUGAAAAAGGCAAAUAAUAUACAAGAGACGAAUAUGCUUUUAAAAUUUUAUCCAGCUGUACCUAAAUAGGUAGCAAGAAGUUUAUUUUCCCCGAUGAUACCUUAUAACCACUGCUAUGCUAGAUAUUCCAUACAAUUUACAUGUGCAUGACUUUUUUUGCUUUUUUGUUUUCUUUACUCAGGGUUCUCCCACAUUCAUCGUAAAACAAAUAUUUUAAUGUCAUAAUCAAUUGUUUUAUAAAAGGUGUAAACGAUGCUUUUGCGAGGAAAUACAUUAUCUGAAAAGGAAUUGUGUGAAAAUAAGAAGAAAAAAAACCAAGCAUAAAAUCACUAUAAUAUCAACAAACCAAGAAAUAAGGCAUAUUUAGUUAACAAUGAAAGCGGGAAGUGGGAAAACAACUCACGAUAGUAUGUUUUUCUAAAAGAAAUAUUUUGACUUGGGGAAAAUUUUUACGUUCUAUAAGGCAAUAGAAUUUAAAAAAAAAAAAUUAAUAAUAAUUCCUUUCAAUUUUGACAGUUACUCUUUGUACUUGAGCGAGUUUAGUUUGAGAGGUUUUCGUAUGGCGCGGCCGUGGUCGCGGCAGCUAGGGGCAGUCAUCACGCCGAGCCGCGAGAGCGCAGCACCGUCGGUUUCUCGCGAAAACUAGCGAGCUGUCCUGUAUUCUCCCUCUACAGUAUUUGGUACCAUGCACGUGAGGACAGCCUAAGUUUCACCCCCAUAGAUCGACAUGCCCUUCGGGCUGGUUCGUACAUGUUCGGUUUUAUUUAUUUAUUUAUUUUUUUUUAUCUGUACGUUCAAAACAAACAUUGCAAUAUUGAUCAAAAAAUUGUUGACUAAUGUUAUUUUAUAUUUUUUUAAGAGUAAAACACAUGUACACAAAUACUUCCUUUUACUAAUUAUGAGAUUUUCAGGUAGCGUGUGGAGAUUUCAUCUUAUGUUCAUGAGCGCACAACGUAUAAAAUAUAAAAUCAUAAGAAAUGUUUUCUGGUGGUGUGUAGCAGUUAACCGCAUUUAAGUAAAAAUAUUUUAAAAUGAUUGUUACCAGAGCUGAAUUACAUUGAGGUGAGUGCACUUAAUAUAAUUUGGGGUAUUGCAGGAAAAAUUAUAAAUUCCGAAAGUGUUUUUUACUUCCUGACAUGUUUAAAAUUAUUAUUCUCUAUGAGGGUUGUUUGAUACUGCAAGUAGUUUAUCAUGUUUAACAUGUGGAUAGGUUAGGAUUAUUUAUUACAAAUCUGUAAUAUUGAGAUACUGCCCUUGGGUUAGCUGGAUUAAAAAUACAGUGAAAUUUGUUAGGUUAGUAACAUUAUACGUAUAGUGAUUCUAAGUACAGUGGAAUUUACAUUUGGUUAGCUUGGGAUAGCACCAAUUAAAAAUUCUGUAAAAUCAAUUGAACGGUUGGAUGUUACUAACCUAAUCUAACCAACCAAUAUACAUUUUACAGUGAUUUUUUAGGUUAUUAUCUCACGUUGCUGCUUUUUGUAUGCAAAAUAAACUUUGGACACUUUUUUUUUAACUUUAAAUAUGUACCUGUAUUUACUCUGAAAAAAGUUUUUUCUAAAUUCAGACUGGUUUUUGAGAAAUCACUGUUUAUAGGUUACAUUACAUUACCUGUGCAGUAAAGGGCCUGUCACCAUGUUGUUCUUUAAUUGAGUUGCAGAUCUUGUUGUUUUUCAUACACAAAUUGUCUAUUUUUUAUUUGGAUAUUGCAAUGCAGUAACAUAAAUUAACACAUUAAAAAAGUUAUGUGACUCCUUAUUGUGCAUUCCAAACCCAAAGCAUCAGUCCUUGAGAGCGAUAUUUUUUAGCAGUUUAUAGGUGCAAAAUUCUGAUUUUUUACGUGAGACAACACAUAACCUGACAUAUAAAAUAAAUUUUCAUUUUGUAACAAAUGAUUCCUUUUAUACGUCAGGUUACGUGCUAUUGCAGGUAACUAAUCUGCACUUUGCGCCUCCAUACUGCUAUAAAAAAUCCCUGUCAAGGGUUGGCGUUUUGGUUUGGAUACACAUUAGAGACUCGUAACUUUUUUUAAAACUAUUAUUUACGUUUCAUUAGGUUAUAAUAUUCAAAUAAAAAAUAUAUACAUUCUUAUAUAUAUGGAAAACCACAGGAUCUGCUAUGCAAUUAGAGGGGAAAAUGGUAACAGCUGCUUCACUGCAUAAGCUAUCUAGCGUGACCUGCAAAAUGUGAUUUCUUGAAAACCAGUAGGAAUUAAGAAAAGCUGUUUAUAGUUUUAAUAGAGGAAGGUUUUUAGUGUCUGAAGCGGUAUUUUCAAAAUUUUAUAAUUUAAUUUAUGGAUAAGCAGCAACAAAAGAAAAUUACUUUUUUUAAAUUUAGCUAACCAACCAUUCACAUGAUUUUACAAAUUUUGUAUUGUUUAUACUUACCUACUUUAACAUUAAACUACUGUUAAACAAUUUAUUUCAAUUUUUUAAAAAUAUAUUUGGGAAUUAGCGCAGUAUAAUCAAAGACGUUUACUGUAUUGAUGAUUGAUUUACUUUAUUGAUGCACAAUGAAGUUGUAUAAUUGUUGGAUUGGUUAAGCAAAUUCAAGCAUCAAGGGUACUGAUCAAUGGUUUUUAACAUUAUAUUUUCUUAAUGAAUCCAUUGGUAAAACGUUAAAACACUGGAAUGGCUAAAUUUCCAUCGACUGCUUAUGUUUUUUUCCGCAUGCUCACUUGAAAACAAUUACAGGGUUAUACUGUAGUUCACAGUUGCAAUACUUGGUUAGGUUAGUUACAUAAGUGCUGUUAAAUCAUGAAAAUGGUUAGGGAAAGGUAACUUCUUCAUAACUACUGUAAAAUGGUGUAAGCAAUUAUUCUUUAGGUAAGUUUACCUAGACUUUAAAAAUAAUUUAUUUGGCGAAGUACAUAGUACUAAGAAUUACUAUUUAUCAAAUUUGGUUUGUGUGGAAAAGUUGUUACUCUAGGAAAUUUCUGAAUCCAUCUUUGUAGGAAUAUAAACUAAUAUUAUUAGAAACAAAAAAAGAACAAUGUGUGGUAUAUUUUAAUUUUCUAACACGCUCUGAACUCUGCAGUUAUGCGAUUACCAAUAAUAAUUGUAAAUCAUUGCAAUAUACAUCCGACACAUUUUGUAGUGAUUUCACAACUGUACUAUGAAGUAAUGCCAUCGACUGCUGCAAAAUAACAUGCUGACAUCUAUUCUUGUGUAGGCAUUUUGUUGAUACGACUAAAAUAUGAACAUAUAGGAUAUAUAUAGAAUCUUACAAAUUUUGGUAACCUACCUACUAAUACUCUCCCCGAAGACUUUGGUUAGAUACUUAAAAAAAAAAAAAAAAAUUAACUGCUUAUGUGACAUGCAUUACGUGAAAUUAAUUCAACUUGUAAACAUUUUGCUUGAGUCAAAGCCUAGAUUUGCUUAAGCUAAUAACAAGCAAUUACAUCACUUGAGGCCCUGAGAAACAAACUUCUAAAAUUGUGUAGUUACUUGGAUUGUUAAAUACCUAGUUUUUCUGCAAUAAUGGGCACAAGAGUAAUAGAAUUAUGUUUUUCAUAUAAUUUUUUUUCACAUAAAUGAGUUUUUGUCAAAAAGUAUUUGGAAAAAAUAUCUAUUUGAAAGGACAAAGAAAAAUGUUAAUUGUAGUACAUAAAUGAGAAUUUACCAAAAUAUUUAAUGUAUCAAAUUUCUAACUAAAAUGGUUUUGAAAUUAAUUUAUCAUUCUGGUAUGCAUAACUUUUUUCUUUGAUACAUUUAUUUAUCAGUUUCAUUUCUCUUUAGUACAAUAUAAAUCAUUUAACUUUGAUUUCUUUUUUGUUUCAGGCUUGUGGAGAACAGCUUUUUUUUAAUCUACUCUUUGGCUGGCGAAUGUAAAUAAGCAAUGAUUUCGUGAAUGCAGCGAGAGAGUUUAUUUGAUGUAUUUUAAAAUCACUGAUAAUAUUUAUUGAUGUAUUUUAAAAUCACUGAUAAUAUUUAUUGAUGUAUUUUAAAAUCACUGAUAAUAUUUGUUUUGUGGCUGGAAGAUGGUAACCAUGGUGACUUGUGAAUUUUUAUGAAGAUUAAUAAAAAGCAGUAAAAAUUA